UACGUAGGGGGCUAGCGUUGUCCGGAAUCAUUGGGCGUAAAGAGCGUGUAGGCGGCCCGGUAAGUCCGCUGUAAAAGUCAAAGGCUUAACCUUUGAAUGUCAGUGGAUACUGCCGGGCUAGAGUCCGGAAGAGGCGAGUGGAACUCCUGGUGUAGCGGUGAAAUGCGCAGAUAUCAGGAAGAACACCUAUGGCGAAGGCAGCUCUCUGGGACGGUACUGACGCUGAGACGCGAAAGCGUGGGGAGCGAACAGG
rnacentral:rRNA from 1 species